rnacentral:hammerhead_ribozyme from 1 species
ACACUGCUGAAGAGUCCAGCGAUAGGACGAAACGGCCGUCCAGUGU